rnacentral:lncRNA from 1 species
GGACCCCUCAAGCCAAAAGACAAAGAGAAGCCCAAGCCAUAGGACCAAAAUCCGGCCCAGCCAGAUUUUGCCUUGUGGCGCCCGCCAUAGACCCUAUGGCGCCCGCCACGGCGUCUGUAAAAGCUCGGGGCAGACUCCCUUUCUUCACCAUUUUCACACCUUACAACCUUCCAAACCCAUUUUUCCGCCUUGCAAAAAUGUCCUUGAACCCACAAAAAGCUCACACCUUUCUCAUCCUCACACC